CUGCGGGCCUGCCGGGAGCCCUCCCGGAGUCUGCGCUUCGCCCCCUGCCUCCCACCCAUUUCCAUCGGCGCUGCGCUCUCGCUGCACCCUACAAACCUUGCAGCACCGGCCCCGUAGCCUGCGUGCACGUAUGCAACCCGCAGGGAGACCAGCUCCCUGGGCAUGUCUGCUCAGAAGCUAGCCCCGAUGGAGGAUGGCCAUGGGAUGGCGGCGGCGGCAGCCUCCUUCCACGAUUCCUGAUGGACUUCUCGACUGGGUUCAGAUAACAUGGCUUCAGGUUUUUGUCCUCCUUCACAUUCUUGCCAUGAUUGGAUUGGUCCUCCUGAUCGAUGUUCAAACCUGCGACCAAUAAUAUUUCAUAUUCCUAAAAAUGAAUCUCAGUUGGAGCAAAGACUUCGAGAAUUCCGGCAGGAAACUCAGGUUUGGAAUCAACAGUUCUGGGCAAACCAGAAUAUGUCUUUUAGAAAGGAGAAAGAAGAAUUUCUUUGCACCAGAUUGAGAGCCAAAGGCGUGCAGCUGAGAGAUGAAACAGGCCAGAAAGCAAUGCUAAAUGCAGAAGAAAUGGCUGAAUUUUACAAACUUUUUCUAAGUAAAAACUUUAAAAAACAUUUAUGCUACAACAGGGAUUGGUACAGACGGAAUUUUGUCAUCACAUUCCUCAUGGGACAAGUGGCAUUUCAGAGAGCAUGGAGAAGAUUUGGAUUGAAAAGGACUAAAGCUGAAAACUAGCAAGGAACAAUGCUGAGUAUACUUGAUAAAAUACCUGAUUAUUAAGAGACUUUGCAUUGCUGCUAUAACUGUUUCUUAGGUCCUCACAUUUGAAGGUACACAAAUACAAGUUGAUCUGGGUCUUAUCCUGUCAAUCCAACUGCUAAUAUUUUAUUUACAACAUCAUACAAGUUGAAAGCUAGUAUGGUGAUAUAACUGUGUGUCAGAGCAGCACAUCUGUCUUUGAUCUGAAAAAUCAAUUUGUAUGUUCUAUUGUGCCAUCUUGAUCUGCAACCAGUUCAGUACAAGCUGUGUUUUCUAAUAAGCUGAAAGGUACACCUGAGCCACACUUCAGACGUAUUUGGUAUGCAGGUGGGCAGUUUCUAUGUUAAAUACCAGCAAAGACGUGAUGUGAACAAUGGUGACAUGAGUACAAAAAAUCAAUACUUAAGUGAAUUAAAUUUGACUUACCAGAACAGAAUAUGAUUACUUUUAAAGAGCUUUAUAGAAGUAUUAUACUUGUAGACACUUUGUCAAGUUAUUUCCCUAGUUCAUAAUAAAUUCACACUCUUAGUGCUCCUGGAAAUUAGGUAGACUCGAUAAAUGCUUUUCUCACCUGUGACAUACAGUGCUUAUUGAUUGAUUUUUAUCUCCUCUCUUCAGCCAUCAUUCACAGUUCUGCCAGGACAGAGAAGGAAUUGAUUUGCUCAGAAAUAUUUGUCUUUCCACAAAGAAAAGGACUCUUUCCAUCUGCAGAAGGUGUUUCAGCUCCUGCGAACUUCCCCAACUGAGGUAGAAGCAGAUUUGUUUGGAAGGGUUAGGCAGCUGCAGAGGUGUGUGUGUGUGGGGGGGGGGGGCAAUCUACAGAAAUGCCACCACUACCCCAUCUAGCGGGAGUAUAAUCUGGAUCCAAUUUCAUAGGUAGAAUGUAUCUGUCUUAUUUAAAUUUCUAGACUUCUAGGAUUGUGGUUUCAGAAUCUGUGUGAAAAAGAUUUUGCAACAGGAUCAAAACCCAAUGCUAAAAACAAGUGUUUCUAGAUUUCUGUUGUACCUGCCUAUCAAGGUCUUCAUGGAUUCUCAACACUUCUAAAGAGCAUUUGUGCCUUGUGUUUAUAACUGUAGGGCCCAUAAUAAUUCAAGAGAAUUUAAACCAUUUUAAUGGAGGCUUUAAUUCCGAGCUUUUAAGCAAGCCUUGAAAACACUGCUCUUCUCUGACCUUCCCUUGAGUGUGUUUUAUCAGACUGGGUUGAAGCUGCAACUGUGAGUUGUAGAUUUUAUUUUAUGCUGGCAUUCGUUCUUUUUUACAGUGUUUGCUGCUGUUACUGUUUUUACUGUUUUUUAUUAUCACAUCAAUUUUUAUUGGUUUAGUGAGUUUCCUUGGAUGCUGCCUUGAGAGGGCUCCUACCUGAAAAACAGCCAAAAAUAUUUUAAAUUAGGUAAAUAAACAAAACUUUAAAUAGAUCCAGACUAAAAGUAAUAAAUUAUACAUUAAAAUUAAAUUAAAUUCAUUCUGCAUAUUCCCAAUUUUUAAAAUGCUUGUUCCUAUCAGGAAGAUGUUUGGUAUUUUUCUUCUUCCUUUUCAAAAAACCACACACACCAAUUGGGGAAUAUGCAGCAAGGACACUUCUCUAGGGAUGAUGUGCUCAGUGCACAUUACCCAUGGCCCAGUAAUUAGGAGUGUCCUAGGGCAGUACAUUUCUGGUCUCCCUGUGCCUUUUCUCUGGUACUCAAAUUUGCCACAUUUUCCCUGUGGCCUGCCACUAAUCUAACCAUCUGAUCAACCUAAUUUUGCUUGUGGAUAUUCCUAAACCUCUGUUUGAAAACUAAUUUUAUAAUCUUGCUUUCUUAAUUACUGGAUAUAUUGACCAUUGAUUGCAAUCAUACCCUUCAAAGGUAGUGCAUCUUCUUCUUGUUUCUUUCCUAUUAAAAACUGGACAUCAUCAUGGCUAGACUGUCUUUAUAUCUGGCCACCAUUGCAUAAUGUUAUGGUCAACAUUGUGUGUACCACUUUGUAAGCCCUUUCAAGCUGGAAAAAUGUUAUAAAAGAAUGGUGACUCAUCAAAACCAUUUAAAUAUAUAAUAAUUCUCAUCCAAGCAGCAAGGAACUGCCAUCUCCUUUUCCACUUAUUUUUUCAUGACAGCACACUGCUAAAUUAUUGGCCUCUGUAUGCUUAUUAUAAAUCAUAGAUCAAAGCAUCCAGUAACAUGAACCUCCCUAUGGAUUUUUCAAAAAUAAAUUUGCAUCAGCUCUGUAGCUGCAGUAGUUUUCUUGCCUCAGCCAAAUGGGAAAAGCUGUAUUGGCAAUGACUGUCCACAGAGAUAACAAAUACAUUGGAUUUCCAAUUGGGUUUUUAAUACCUUUGUUAAAAAACCCUAAUUAUCUUUAUAGUAGUGUCUUUCAAUAAGAUUGUGGGUCUUUUUUCAGCAUGUAAUAAAGCAGUUAUUUAAAUUAUUUUUAAUUUGUAACGCAAGAUGAUUUUCACCAUUAAUGGGAAAUGGUUCUUGCAUUUCAAGCAUGUUCUAAUUUCCUAUAUUCAUUGAAUUUUGCCACUGAGGUAUUCAUUUCACGGUAAUAGAGGAGGAAAAAACAUUUUUGAGCAUUCCCACAUUGGGUGUGUUUACAUGUUAUAUCAACCUACCCUGGAAAUGAGAAUCAGGCUCAUAAUGGGUUAUUGGCCCCUUCCCCCCGUCCUCCUCACUUGAUCCUUCUGCAGGUGUCCAGAGAUGUCCAUUAGACAUCAGGUUAUCCUCUGGAUAUUCCAAGAGACUUCAUGAAAGGACCAAGGUGCCUCUCCACUGUGAGUACAAGCCAUUCCAGACUCAUUGCAGCUUUUUUAUAGUUCAAACUUUUGUUUGCUUGAGAUUGCAACCACCAGCUUGACAGCUGGUUUUUUGAACCCCAUUGUGGCAUCUAUGGACAGGCCCUUCAAAGCUCCUCAGCAGUAUUUUGGAGGGAAUGCCUGUGGUUGCCAAACAGGCAUUACACAUUUUUGUAAUUUUUCCAAACACUGGCUUUCGUGAUCUCAUGAAAAAAAGUUUGAAGUGAAAAAAAGCUGCAGCAAACCCAAAAUAGCUUUUGAUCAGGGUAGGAAGAAGGCAAAGCUAGUGCCAGCUGCUCCUUUGGGCACACUUUGGGUUUCUAGCAGGGGCGGCCACUUGGAAGCUGCUUGGCAGAAGCAGCAUGGGGUUUUGCUCCCCUUGUCAAGAAGCUCCUAUAUUCAGUGCCUGGUUCCACGUACCCAUGAUGGAGUUGUGUACAGCAACACCUACUGCAGACACCCAUGGGUUGUCAGGGUGGCUUGUUGUUUUCAGAUAAGUCAUCCUGUGGGAAUUGGUUCAGGUUCACACAAGUCACAUCGUGACACCCACUGUGGGUGGUGACACCAUAUAAACCCAGCCAUUACCUUCGCUAUAUUGCAAAUGAUACACUACUGGCUGUGUAUUGUUAGAAUCUUUUGCCAUGAACUUGUCACAGUACCUGUAUAUACUGGUGUCACCAGAUAUUUUGUUACCCCUAACAGCAUUCACAAUGCUUUGAAUUCACAAGCCCAGAGAGACUCGAUCACAUCUCAGUGUCCUUUAAAUACUGAAAUGUCUGGUUUAUGUGCCAUAUUGCAGAGCAGUCUUCCCAAAAUGAUCAAAGCAGAAAAAUUAUAUCAAUUGUGUAUGCAUGUGCAUGGUUGCAGGCAAUAUAGUAUCUUUCUUCCUUUUUAAAAGGGACUGUCCUCAUUUUCUGUUUUUUUUUAUCAAUGCUAGACUAGACUAGCAGCAGAAGUAAAAAUAGCCACGUAGUCCUGACAUAACAAAAGAGGAGAUUUUCUUGCAUAAACCCUGAAUACAGGCUACCCCUAAAGCAGCUGAAGCCCAAGAGAAGUCCAUUGUCUCUGCAGUCAAAAAUGAUUAUUUCUACCAGAUUGAGCUCAUACCAUUAAUAGCCAUUACUCUUCAGCAUACUGGAAUUCUGCAGUGUGUUUCUCAUUCAUUAUAUUUCAGGAUUUGGCUAUGGGUUGUACAUUUAUACCAGUGUUUGAGCAAUAGUAUCAUUAACCAUAGAUUUAAAUGUGCUACCUAUUAUGUCUUCUAACCAAAAAAAAAGUAUUAACAACUUGACAGUUAUUAUAAUCCACCUUUCACGGUCUACCUGGUAGAUCAAGUUAAUGACCAUCUCAUUGUAUUAGCAUUUCUUUCCUGAUUUUGAGGAUAAAAUUAUUUUAUUGCUCAAGGCAGGGGAUAGAAAAAUGCUUCUGCCAUAUAUGUGGGGAAAAUAUAUGAACCAGAACUCCCUUUGUUCAGAAAGAUGUUGUCACCACAAGUGUUUUCUUACUCUUCUCUGUUGUUUGCUUGAUAUAUUAAAAUUAUUAUUAUAAGAAA